rnacentral:rRNA from 1 species
UACGUAGGGUGCGAGCGUUGUCCGGAUUUACUGGGCGUAAAGAGCGCGCAGGCGGUCGUUCAAGUCGCGUGUGAAAGCCCCCCGGCUCAACUGGGGAGGGUCACGCGAUACUGAUCGACUCGAAGGCAGGAGAGGGUAGUGGAAUUCCCGGUGUAGUGGUGAAAUGCGUAGAUAUCGGGAGGAACACCAGUGGCGAAGGCGACUACCUGGACGGACAUUGACGCUGAGACGCGAAAGCGUGGGGAGCAACAGGG